GGGACCUACGGGGGGCAGCAGUGGGGAAUAUUGGGCAAUGGGCGCAAGCCUGACCCAGCAACGCCGCGUGAAGGAAGAAGGCUUUCGGGUUGUAAACUUCUUUUCUGAGGGACGAAGGAAGUGACGGUACCUCAGGAAUAAGCCACGGCUAACUACGUGCCAGCAGCCGCGGUAAUACGUAGGUGGCAAGCGUUAUCCGGAUUUAUUGGGUGUAAAGGGCGUGUAGGCGGGAAUGCAAGUCAGAUGUGAAAACUAUGGGCUCAACCCAUAGCCUGCAUUUGAAACUGUAUUUCUUGAGGGCUGGG
rnacentral:rRNA from 1 species